rnacentral:rRNA from 1 species
UACGGAGGGUGCAAGCGUUAUCCGGAUUCACUGGGUUUAAAGGGUGCGUAGGUGGGUAGGUAAGUCAGUGGUGAAAUCUCCGGGCUUAACCCGGAAACUGCCAUUGAUACUAUCUGUCUUGAAUACCGUGGAGGUGAGCGGAAUAUGUCAUGUAGCGGUGAAAUGCUUAGAUAUGACAUAGAACACCAAUUGCGAAGGCAGCUCACUACACGAAUAUUGACACUGAGGCACGAAAGCGUGGGGAUCAAACAGG